UACGUAGGGUGCGAGCGUUGUCCGGAAUUAUUGGGCGUAAAGAGCUCGUAGGCGGUGUGUCGCGUCGGUCGUGAAAACUUUCAGCUUAACUGGGAGCUUGCGGUCGAUACGGGCAUCACUGGAGUUCGGCAGGGGAGACUGGAAUUCCUGGUGUAGCGGUGAAAUGCGCAGAUAUCAGGAGGAACACCGGUGGCGAAGGCGGGUCUCUGGGCCGUAACUGACGCUGAGGAGCGAAAGCGUGGGGAGCGAACAGG
rnacentral:rRNA from 1 species